rnacentral:lncRNA from 1 species
GUCCUAUCUUACCAGCACCCGCACCAUGGCUCCCCAGAAGGUUCUCUUCGCCCUCGUGAUGGUGUUCCUCUUGGCGUUCGCACACGGAGCCCCUGAGGCCGAACCGGGAUACCGAAGCUACGGCCAUGGCCACGGCGGAGGAUACGGACACAGGAGUUACGGAUACGGACACGGCGGCGGAUACGGUCAUAGGAGCUACGGUUAUGGACACAGGAGCUAUGGAUAUGGAUAUGGUUAUCACUAGCAGGCGACAGUCAUGCUCUCCCUCGAUCUUGGUCAACGAAACUAAAAAUAAAGAUUUUCAAUGUGAUGAAA